rnacentral:rRNA from 1 species
UACGAGGGGGGCAAGCGUUGUUCGGAAUUAUUGGGCGUAAAGGGCGCGCAGGCGGCUCUGAAAGUCAGAUGUGAAAGCCCCGGGCUUAACCUGGGAAUUGCAUUUGAUACUCUGGAGCUUGAGUACGGGAGAGGAGAGUGGAAUUCCCAGUGUAGAGGUGAAAUUCGUAGAUAUUGGGAAGAACACCGGUGGCGAAGGCGGCUCUCUGGACCGUAACUGACGCUGAGGCGCGAAAGCGUGGGGAGCAAACAGG